UGAAAACCGGAUUACCCCUCCAAAAGUCCUUUUCACUGCAUCUCUACGUUUGUUUUGUCAGUUCUCCACAAACCGAGCUUCACAUCUCAACCAUGGCUCCCUGAUAUCACGAGGGAAAAUCUACUUCUCCUUCUCAGUAAGUUUUUAUUUCUUUUCUUCCCUUAUCUUGUUACUUCCCCUUAUUAACCUCAUUCUCUAUUAUUACACGAAAGUCUUUCUCUAAAAAACUUUUUUUUUUCUUUUUUUCCUUCCCUUUUUUGUUACUUCUCUUUGUCCAAGGUAUCUAUUUUCUGUUUGUUGAGUAACAACUGUUGGGGUUUUGAUGUUGGUUUGUACUUGUUUUGUUUGCUGAAACCCAGAAAUUUUCAGCAUUAUUUUACAUAGUAAAUGUAGUUUUAGUGAAAUAUUAAUGAUUUUUACCAUUCUCAACCUCAUUGCGCCCAAGUCGCCCUAUGCUGCACUAAUAUAAGUGAAUAAAACAAGUGAUGUCAGGUGAAAAUAUCGCAGUAGAUUAGCAUUUUAAUUCCUUCCAGAUUUAAAAACAAAUCAAUAUGUAAAAACAAGGCUCAGCAUCUCUACUUUGAGAUAUUUUGUCUCCCGCAAGUCUUUCUAGAUUAAAGUUGAAGUUGGAGUGGAUUGAAUUUGUGAAUGUAAGAAUACAAAAAGAAAUGUGGUAGUUACCAGUACAAAAAGGAGUUGAUUGCAUCUUCAUUGUGUGCUUUUAUGAGAUUUAUAUGAUGGAGUUUAUUAUUAUAAAAUUUUAUUUUCUCUGUUUUGCUAGCUUCCUAAAUGGAUUGUGAAAAAUAAAGUUCAUCCCUUUCUAUUUCUUUACUUGAUUAGCUUUCCCACAAGAUCAUAAAUGAGUAAUCACGCAGCACCUCCUAAUCAAGCGUCGAAAAGGUCAAGGAGAUCAACACCUCAGUGUCGAAGGACAUGGACACUAGAAGAAGAACGCACUCUUGUUGUUGGUUUAAAAGAUUUAAGUACUAUAGGUUGGAAAGCUGAUAAUGGAACCAUUUAAGAAUGGAUACUUGAUGGAAUUAUAGCAUCAUUUAUAGAAAGUUCUUCCUAACUGUGGAUUAAAAUCUGCACCACAUAUUAAUUCUAAAUUGAAAGCAUGGAAGAGGGACUAUAGUACUAUAGUUUCAUUAAAAAGUCUAAGUGGAUUGGGCUUUCAAUAUGGUGAAGGAAGAAUUAUAGUUGAUGAUCUAACAAAAUGGGAUGAGUUUGUUAAGAUCAUGGACACCGUCAAAGUCAACAACAAGCUAAAAAUACUAGAAGCUCCUCUUCUAAUAUCAAUGAUAAGGAGAAAAGCAGAAAAAGAAAAAAGAUCUAUAGACAAAUGAUGACGAGACGAUUUUAAAGAGUUUAGUCGAUGUUAUGAAGCAAUUUAUGGAAAACCAUGACAAAAGGAUGGGUGCUUUAGUUGAAAGGUUUGGGGGGCGUGAUGAGUCUGAAAUUCGUGGAAAAGUUCUAGAUAUCCUCUCGUCCCCUGCUUUUUAGUUGUACACUUCAGAACAACAAAUCAAGGCAGCAAUGGGGCUUACUUCUGAGGUUAGAAGAAUGGAUAUGUUCUUACGGAUGGGUGAACUUGAACGUCAGAAUAUGGUCUGGAUGAUUAUCAAUGAUACAUUUCCAAGUAUAUAAGAUAUAAUUGUAAAGGUUGGGCAUGAGUUUGAUGGUUUUUGCUAAAUUGACGACCUUCAAAAUGUUUAAUAGAUGUAUUAUAUUUUUGAUGCCUUAGCUCCAUAAACUUGAUAUGUGACUAGUAUGAGCAUGAGGAUGCAUAUGUAAAUGUAAUGCAUGAAUGCUAAUUGGUAUGGGGAUCAUACCUUUUGUCUAUUUAUAGCUUUUUAUGAUUGUGUGAUAUUGUUUUAAUAUUUGCGA